rnacentral:pre_miRNA from 1 species
AACAUUCAUUGCUGUCGCUGGGUUGGACUGUGUGGAAAAGCUCACUGAACAAUGAGUGCAA